AUUUGGAUAGCUCAGUUGGUAGAGCAUGAAACUCUGAAUCUCAGGAUGGUGGGUUUGAGUGCCAUGUUGAGCA